rnacentral:misc_RNA from 1 species
UCCCAUCUUCCGUAGUCCCCGUUUUCUAUUCCCGUCACGGCAUGUAAACAAAGCCUGCGGUGAAACAGAGAGAGAGAGAGACUGAGUAGAAAGUCGAGGAGGAUUGCAUCAUUACCUCGGUUAACAGGGUGCACCAGCCCCUCCUGGCCUAGGAGGACCUGAGGACAACCCAGAAAAGGAGGCUGAUGACCAGAAGGAUACUGGGGUCAUUGCACAGUCUGACGUUUGUGUGACUCAGCCUUCAUCUCCGUCGCUGCCUCCAACUAAUGUUUCCGCCCCCAGUUUAACCAAGGAAUGUGAGAACACUUCUGUUACUGAGGAGACAAGUUUUGCAUCUUGCCUAACUGAGGAGACAAGUACCCUCUCAGAAUGCUGUGUCCUGCCUUCUCAAAAUGUGACCCCGGCCAGUGAAGCCUCGCGUGCUCCAGGCAGGGAACACCAGGCAGAUCCAUUGUCAAAUUCCGACUCCGAGUACGAGAGUGCAGAGGAACUUGACUCUCCUGCAGGUGCAUCAGCUGUUGUGGAAGAACCUCCAUCUACAAGUGCCAACGUUGUUACAAAUCAAACCCAGAGCUCGGAACAGGAGCUUGGAUUACCAGUGCCACUAGAAGGUAUUAAAGAGAAUAAAGAAGAAACCAGUAAUACUGAGGUAAUUCAGAAUUCUGUGGCCAAGGAAACAGAA